AAGAGAGUAAAAUGCUAGAUUGACUUAUCCUAGUUUGUACAAUGUUUUCCAUUGCGUUUCAAUGCAUAUUCUGUGCCAGUCAAACACGGGACAAUUUAGUGAUAUGAGUGCUCGGCACAGAAACUUGAUUCAGUUCAAACACAAUUGUCUUCACAUCUCCGGAAUGGUUCUCUAUCGAAAAUGUGCGGCAGCGCUACGCCGGAACGGCGUGUCUUGAACAGUCAGUGUCUGAAAGUAUACACAACAAAGUAAUCAAGCAUCUCGAGUCUUCUUCUGUGUGUGUGUGUGUGUUUCAGAUACUCUUGGGGUCGUCUUGCUCUGUGUGAGUCUGGUUGUGUUACUGCUGGUGAUCAGUCUGCCAGUAGUCAGCAGAUGGAAAGCCAACAAGAGAACAGCUUUCCCCUCAGCACAAAGGGUGAGCUCAGACACUGGGGUCAACGAAGAGAGUUCUCAUGGUGAGGGUUACUAUGAAGAGAUACAGGAGCGCCCCCAGCAGUCCGAAACAGGCGGUACGAUCACCACCAUCUACAGCACCCCCUACCAUCCCAUAAACCCCUCUGACUCGCAAUACUACGCCAACGUUGACUUCCAGAGAGACCCUGGCAACCCCAGUGAAGCCACCAUCGCCAUUAUUAAAGAUGGCACCUGCCCCAGUGAAGCCACCACCGCCAUGAUUAAAGAUGGCACCUGCCCCAGUGAAGCCACCACCGCCAUGAUUAAAGAUGGCACUUGCUCCUGUGACUAUGCUAACAUGUUUACAUAAACAAGAACACACAUAAGAUUAGAUGGUCCUUCUCUCGCCUUCACCACUCACACAAAGCUGUCAACUAUAAUUCUCAGUAAACUGUUUAUUCAGUGUAAUCUAUUAGUGACACAGUUAUGUUGCAGAGAGUGUCAAAGAAUCCCCUUUUGAUGUUUUUGUUUCUUUAGGAUCUGUGUAUCCAUUGUCAUUUAUUGUGUACAUGUUUAAAACAAGCACAUCAUACUGAACAUUUUAUCUCCCUUUUAUUUUUCAUUCCAUCACUUUUCAUUUCUUAUGGUUUCGAUUUUCUGGAUAGGAUUUUUAACUGAAUUAGCGUUACAUCGUGGAUUUCGUUGUUGAGUCUACAGUAACCAACUAAAUAGACAACUGCUGCUGAUGUUAAAGUGCUGUGUCAAGGGGCGCCGUAUAGGAGGAAGAAGUUAGAACAAUUCCAAGGGCCCAUGACUGACAGGGGCCCCAAAAAAUAGCUAACAGCUGCUCAGAGGGGGCCCAAUAUUCCUGGCGGCGCCCCUGGCUGUGUAUAUUCUGCUUUACUUUUUG